UACGUAGGUGGCGAGCGUUGUUCGGAUUUAUUGGGCGUAAAGGGUCCGCAGGGGGUCUGCUAAGUCUGAUGUGAAAUCCCACGGCUCAACCGUGGAACUGCAUUGGAGACUGGUGGACUAGAGUAUCGGAGAGGAAAGCGGAAUUCCAGGUGUAGCGGUGGAAUGCGUAGAUAUCUGGAAGAACACCGAAAGCGAAGGCAGCUUUCUGGACGAUUACUGACCCUCAGGGACGAAAGCGUGGGGAGCGAACAGG
rnacentral:rRNA from 1 species